GAGACAACUCUCCACAAGAGACCAAAAUGACAGAAAUUAACGACUAUAGGUCACCGUACGGCCUUCAACAACGAGCAAAGCCCAUACCGCAUACUCAGCUUUAAAAGGCCCCGAAAUGACCAUGUAAAAAAAUUCAAACGAGAAAACUAGCGGCCUUAUUUAUGUACAAAAAAGGAACGAAAAACAAAUAUGUAACACACAAACAAACGACAACCACUGAACUACAGGC
rnacentral:lncRNA from 1 species